rnacentral:tmRNA from 1 species
CCCCUUUUCUAAACCUCACCCAGCGCUUAUAUAAAACCUGCCGGUUCACGCCGGCUAUGGCGAUAAAUGGUCAGUGAAAUAAGCCUUUCGGACCCGGGGGCGGUACCCGGCGCCUCCACCCGAGCCCGUUGAGAAAGCGGGCUCCGGUGGGGGCGAAAUAGGAUCGACGAGGGUGUAAAGACUGUGCUUUCGCCCGGCAUGGUUCCGCCGUUAUCGGGCCGACUCAAUAGUUGCUAAUGACAACUAUGCUAUGGACAACGCUGUCGCCGCGUAAUGCGGUGCCGGUAGUCCUUUAAGUCCUGUCGGGUAGCACCGGCAGGCGGGGUCCGGAGGCACCUGGCAACAGAAGCCUCCACU